GGUCAAGGUCAUGCUGUGGUUGGCUUCAUGGGGCCCCUGGGCCUGCUGAUCUGGGUCCUGGGCUGUGGCUGGAGAGGGUUUCUUGAGAAGGGGAUGGGGCUGUCUUCAAUCCAUCCUAGAAAAGUAAAUGCACAUACAGUCAGAGCUAAGAAGAGCUCUUGCCCCUCCUGUCACUGUAGUCCCAAGUUCCUUGCUAACAGUCACCGCUUACAGGUUGCAUUGGAAAAGCCAAUCCUUUCUUCCCCAGGUAGUGGAGUUCCUCCCAUCCCUGGAUGCCUUCUUUCAGGUUCCUUACCCAGAGCUGGGCCAGAAUGACAUGAUACUGGGCCACCUGUCCGGGAUCCACAAACAGACAGGAGAAGUUGGUACUUAGUAGGGAGGGGCUCAGUUCCUCCAGCACCAAGGCCCUGUGUAGCCAGGUGCUUGCGUUCCUCUGCUCCCGGCUAGAGCAGCAGAAGGAAAUCAUGAGAGGGUUGCAGGGGCUGGGGGGGGGGGGGGGGCUUUCUUCCGCUAGCCUAACUGAUGGCCCUUACCUUGUGUGGCCCUCCCUCAGCCGGCCUGGGAGGUGCUCAAUGAAGGAGCCAUUGCCCAGCCAGUAGAGGAUGCUGAAGU
rnacentral:lncRNA from 1 species